CUUGAUAUUUUUUUCUAUAAACUUAGUCAAAGUUAACAAAGUUUGACUUUGACCAAAUUUUAUAUGCAGACUAAAAAGAAUGGAGGGAGUAUGUGUUGUGUUGUUCUCACUGGGCUGGCACAGUUACAGCCAAAGGCUAUGUUUACAAAAAGAAAUUAAUGAUUCAAAGAAGAGGAGCAGAGGGUGUACGAUAUUUACCUCAAGGUCGUGCAAGCAUCGCCUCCUCCCGGUGUUCGGCACUCCUGGAGGAAUUGAGCGCCAGUGUGGUCGAGCCACAUAGAACACCAACAAGUGACAACAAUACACCAUCCCAGUCUGGGGAAUGACAAGAACGUGGCUUGGUUUACAUGAUGUUCAUACUACGGAUUGUGGAGGCAUGGUUUCCGUCAAGGAGUGGUGGCGCAGCAACGCUUCCGGGAGGUCGCAAUCUCGAACGGCCCUUGUUUUCCUUAUGCUUCUUAUCUAUUGGGAAAUCUAGA